rnacentral:sRNA from 1 species
GGUCUUGGUGUGAUUAUCAUCGGCUUAGCCGUGACAGUGACUGGUAUCACUGGUUUAUCCACCUCUGCUAUUGCCACAAAUGGAUGUGUCAGAGGAGGUGGUGCCUACUAUCUUAUUUCCAGAAGUUUAGGGCCCGAGUUCGGUGGGUCAAUAGGCCUGAUCUUUGCUUUUGCUAAUGCAGUGGCUGUUGCUAUGUAUGUGGUGGGAUUUGCUGAGACUGUAGUAGAUCUUCUUAAGGAGAGUGAUUCGAUGAUGGUGGAUCCAACCAAUGACAUCCGGAUUAUAGGCUCCAUCACAGUGGUGAUUCUUCUAGGAAUUUCAGUAGCUGGAAUGGAAUGGGAGGCAAAGGCCCAAGUCAUUCUUCUGGUCAUUCUUCUAAUUGCUAUUGCAAACUUCUUCAUUGGAACUGUCAUUCCAUCCAACAAUGAGAAAAAGUCCAGAGGUUUCUUUAAUUACCAAGCAUCAAUAUUUGCAGAAAACUUUGGGCCAUGCUUCACAAAGGGUGAAGG